ACAAUUCUUACUUCAAACGUCCAGCACCAUAAAGCAUUUCAGGUGGCCCUAUAAAGCAAUCGAGAUAACAGAAAGCAGCCAAGACCAGGCAGAACAAAAGCUAUGAUGUGAGAGAGGCAGUCUGAAGCCUUGUGCAAGUCGGAACAGGAAAAGCUUAUCGGCAAGCCCAACCAGCUUUACUGACCUGGAGCCGGGUGACAGUGAGACAACUUGAUUAUCAUCAUCAGGAACAGUAUUGCCACAGCGGCUACCUGUGGGAAUCCUGCCCGGGCGUGAGACGCUGAUCACAGCUUUUUCCCACUGAUCUGGCAACUGGGGAAUAAAAAGGGUGAUCACCAUCAAGCAAUGGCUGUGUAGGCCAGCAGCAGCCCCAUCUGCAGCAUGGCAUCAGCAGGGCUUUAGUGACCUCCUCUCCC